UUAAUUUCUAAACAAUACGAAACCUCUUUCUCUUCUCAACGAAGCCUCCUUCUCCGUAUAAAUGUAAUUUUUUUUGGCCAGGUUCUCUCAAGGUCAACAAUUUCUAUUAAAUUUCUGUGUUUCUUCACUUUUGCUCAAUCUCUUCUUCCCCGUCCCUUCUCUACACCUUGCUGCCCUACUACUUAUCAAUCGUCUUCACCAAAACUCUGAAUCGAACCCUCUCAAUCAUCUUUCUCAGGUACUUUCUACUUCUCAAUUGUGGGAAUUGUUAUUGAUCAUUAUAGACCAGUGAAUUUGGGCAAAAUUUGGGUUUGUUUCAAUUUUGAUUAUUGUUUGGUAAUUAGGGUUUAUUUGUUUGUUUGAUUUCGAAAUUUGAUUUUUCUUUCUUGUUUGAUGCUUAAACCAGUAAUUAAAUUGUGGCAAAUUGAUGUUGUUAUUUGUUUGAUUCUUUCUUGAUGUUGUUAGAAAACAAGUUGGCAGAUUGAUGUUGGGUUCUGGUUUCUAUCUAUAGAUAAAAUGCUCCACUUUCUAUACCAUUGUAUUCUACAUUUAAUUAUAGAUCAAAACUAAUAUUAUCUUAAUUGUUGGGAAUGUCUAAUUCCUAUGAAUAUUUAGGUAAGGAAUGCUAUGGCUGAGAACAACACAAAUAGUAUUUACAGGACAUUCGUCUGGUCGCGCGGUUGCAAUCCUUGCAACCAUCUGGCUACUACUCUGUGCUCACCUACACUUGAUUCAUGAUAGUAGGCCAGGAAGAAGUUAGAACAGUGUUGAUUGCACACAUUAAGUUUGCUUUAGUCUCUUUAGCUUCAAACAUCUACCAAUAGUAGAACAGUGUUGAUAGGCACGUGCCGAUAGUCAUUACCCUUCACCCUGUCAACAUGUUUCAAUGUUGUCUAUAUUUACCUCUCAAAACAAAAGAACAAAAUAAUAAUGAUAUUUUCCUGAUAUUGGUCUGUCCAUCGAUUAGGAAAUGGAUAGGUCUUCAUGGAUCUUAUCAAUCUGUCCAUGUUGGUUGAUUAUCAUUUAAUAGUUAAUAAGUGAUGCUUUCUGUACCCCACCUAUAGGUUAUGUUGAUUGUCCUAUAGGCUGCAAAUGAUGAACUUUAAAAAUAGUUGUCUUAUAAUCUUUGAAUCUAUGUUUUUUGUGAGGUGUUUGGCUGAAAAGUGACAUCAUGAUCCGUAUUAAAAGGAGUUUUCGGGUAUCUAAGAUGUCAUUACUUAGAUACACAUGUAGGAUAUACCUUUUGAACCUUGGUGUUUUUGUGGCAGUCUAUGUUGGUCUGACUUUGAGUCUUUGAGAGGGGGUUAGAAAAUGUUGUGUGUUUAAAGGUGGUUUGUUCAUUGUAAAUUUAUGUUUCCCUUGUUUAUUUAUUUAUUUUUUUUGCCUAUCAGCAAGUAACUGGUAAAUUGUCUCAGCCUACUUUUAGCUUGAUUUAGUAUGUUGUUACUUUAUCAGUCAAAAUAAAUGAAUUACUCUUGAACUUUUUAGUUCCUCCUAUGGAGUCUUUUGUAAAAUAUCAGAGCUGAUAUUUCUUUAUCUAACCAAUAUGUGCUUGGUCAUGAGUGUCCAAAUUCUGUCUUCAUCACAUAUUUUGUAUCUGUGUGUACAUUACACACCAAGAUGAAAUGUAUAUGUAACUCUCAGGAUCGUAUAUUAGAAGAUCUACAUUUAGAGAUCAUAACUAUCAUCACAUGAUAUACCUGGACAUGCCAUUUUGUGGAGAGAGAAUCUCAAGUUCAUAUCAAAUAUAUUACAAUAUCCAAGGAUUUUUCACCCAAAAACCAUUUCACUCACAUAAACUCUUGUUCAGUGAUCUGGUCGUUUUCUUCAGCUUAGGUUUGAGCUUUUUAUUAAGUUAUUAGAGGACAUAAUACUGUAUCAUUUUCAGGUUUCGUAAGGAGAUCCCUUGGUCAAAUAUCAUGUUCUUUACAAGGAUCAGCAUAUUAAUUAAUCUCGCAAGGCAAAAUAGAGUUUUAGGUAAAUAUUUUCCCUUUAUUCAUUUUUCUAAUUUGCAUUUGGAUCUACUUAAAUGAUGCAUCUUACAGAAGGAAAAGCCUUCAUAUGUUCAUCAGACAUUCUUGGUAAAGCCCACAUCUUUUUAUUUUUUAUUUAUAUUUCUUUGAAUUAGAUAUGACAUUGAUUAAGCCAUAUACUUUGCUGUAUGAAUGUCUGUAUCUCAUAUACUGCGUUCCCAAAAAAUAAAAAUUGUUGUGAUCUUUUAAAUUAUAAAUGUAUAUUGUUCGAUUACCUACCUGCAGAGAAAUAAUUUUAAAAUUCUACAACAUUGUCAAGCUACUGAACCAUAUACAGUAUCCUGAAUUUGCAAAUAUGGUUAUAGAGACGUGCUCUUUGACAUUAAAUUGACCAGGAUUCAUCGUGGGUACCCUUGAAAAAUACACGUUUAGUAAUCGUUUUAGCGAUUAGAUGUGCAAGUGUUAACAACAUCAAUUAAGCUGAUGUAAUUAUGACGGUUAGAGCUUCAUUUCUGUAUAAAAAAAAGGGUUGAGAAAGAAUAAGAGAACACAGGACAGUGUACAUAGGACCCACAUUCGGAAGGUAAGAACCAGUAAAGUAGGAACAUCUUCUGUCGACAUAGUUACCUGCUUGAUCCAAGAGUUUUCUUCUUCCAGUUUUGAAUCCAUAAAAAAAUCCUGAGGUAGAUGGACUACUGUGAUCUUCCUCCACUUUAUCUCCUUUCUUUGAAAGUGCUAUGUACAUGCAUAAAGAAUCUUAUACAGUUAGAUAGGUUUAUGGAUAGAAAGUACAAGAAUCCUGCUCAUUCAUAAGUCAAAUGAUGACCAAAAUAUGCAAUAAGCCUAUUUAUUGCUUUCAGAUGUUUUAUAAAAUGAUUAAUGCUAAAAAAAAUAAAAUUAAGGAAUUAGUUUUCUUGAAUUAAAAAGGUAACCAUGGUAUUGAGUUGAGACUUACGAGAACAUAUAUUAAAUUGACAGAGUAUUUAUGGCUUUCCUCUUCUUGAAAUGCAGCCUUGAGUUGAAAGAAAUUCAAAAACUAUAUUCCUCUGCAAAGGAUGGAUAUGAGUCUGUACAACUUUUUACUGUUUCAUGGGUUAGUACAUGUUGAUUGGAGCUCUUAUAAAAUCAUGUAUUAUAUUAUUUUUUUUAUUUUUUGGGUCUUAUUCGUUUGAUUAUCUUAUUUCAUAGUUGACUUUAAGUUUUUUUUUUUUUUUCUAAUUAUGAGUACAAUUCAUUGAAAGAGAAGGAUUUAUAUUUAUUGUCGGACAGCACUCACAAGGGGUGUGAGAAUUGUAUUUAUCCAGAUGAGCAUCCUUACAUUUUAUUAGUUAAAAUCAGGAACCAAGAUGACCCCCCCCCCCCCCCCGAACCUAUCGCCUUCCAUGAUCCCAAGCUAGACAUGCUCUUAGUUUUACCACAAGUCCACAACUGCAGCUUUUUGCCUCUCUAUUACAUAUUAUGAUGUAGGACAUGUUAGGAGUUACUAUUUUAAUUCUAAGUAUGAAAUAGGUUCUAGAAUAUAUUGUUUUAGGUCUAAGUAUAUUAUAUUAGGAAUCAUUAUGUUUUUAGAAGUCGUUUAAUUUAGAAGUCCUUUACUUGUUAAACAAGCUUCUUGCUCUAUAAAAGAAGCUCUAGAUUAUUGUAAUAGAGAGAGGUUGAUUAUUAUUGAAUUGAAUAGAAGAAGUGCUUCUUGAGUUAUCCUUGUUUUCUUGCUAGAUUAUUCAUCUUUUCUUUCUUUUUACUUGGUGGAUUCCAAGCUUCACGUUCGUCUAGGUUCCUAACCCUAUCUUCUCAUCUUCUUUGAGAGAUUCUUAUCUCUUUCUUCUAAGUUCUACAUUAUAUUAUAUAUGUUGCAUGCACUCUUCCAAAAGGACAACAUAUCUUGUCUGCCACAUGGCAUAUCCCAACACACAUACUUAUGACUAAAUGUAGUUCAAAAGGCUGAGUGGAGAGAAUUGAGGAAAACUUUGCUCCAUAACGCUAAGGAGCAAACAUGCUUCAAGCCUUAGGAAAAAAACUGAAUGUAGUGCUUGCAAAAAGAUUGAAUGUAGUGCAUAGGAAAAGACCAUGCUCUUGAGUUCCAUGCUAUUAAGUUUUUCUCGAAAUAAACUUCUGCUAUCUAUGGAGCAUUUUCUAAUUCGUUUUAUCUUAAUUUUUUUCUCACAGACUAAAUCAAAGUCGCAGGAUCACCUCAUAGUGUAACUUUUUGAAUAACACAAUCUGAAGUAUUUAAAGCUUACAAAUUGGAAUAGCAAGCACUUUUCUAAUGUUCAGCUGUUGGUGUAACUAUUGAGGAAUUCUCCUAAUAUUAAAACCCUUGGGUUGGAAACGAAUCAGGUAUAUAACCCAAAGCUUACUUGAUAUUGUGAUCUCAAAAACUCUCUCUUAAACGUAAUCCUUUUUCCUUAUUCUCUUCCUUUUCUUCUCUUUAUACCACUUUUUUAUUGUCAUACAGAAAAUCCUACAUAGACAUGUGGCUGCUUACAUAUAAUAUUAAAUUGUCUUCUUCAGGUUUUUUUCUCUGUUCAAUUUGGCGACUGUUGAUUGCUCUAACAACUCUCCUCUUCACUGGUAAUCUCUCUAUUCCUUCUCCUUUUACCACUUACUCAUUCUCUUAAUUUUCUAAUGAAAUCAAAGUAAUGAAUCUUAUAACUUCUUAUUGGAUCGGAAUUAUGAAUACUCUUUGUUUAUGACGUGAUUAAAAAAUAAUUAAUUGGGAUGAAUAAAACCUCCCAUUAAAAGAACAACAGUGAUAUUAAUUUCAGAUACCACCCAUUCAAAAAUUUAUUUUUUUGUGAAUCUGUGUUUUGAAUCUGUCUUUUUGUUUCAUUAACAACGGAAUAUUUCUCUAUUAACAAGGUCGGUCUCCUCCUUCACUUCCAUCUCUUAUAUACUAUAUUCUCUUUACUUUUAGGUUUGCAUUCUAUUUUGUUUUACUACAAGUGAGUCUAAGUGAGAGUGAAUUAAGAGAUGAUUACACAUGCUCUGAUUGUUGGCAUUAUAUUAAUCCUUACAAAAUAAAUAUAGAUGAACUCGUGAUUCAUGAAGUAAUUAGUGGCUCUAAGCUCAAUAUCAAUAUGAUCAAGGACUGCUCCAAUAUUUACAAGUUAGAUUUUCUAAUAGUUAUCCAUUUGUAAGAGAUUGAAAACAAUAGCCAAUUUGCAGAGAUGAAUAUUGUUCAAUAUUAUCCAAUAUUGGGAACAUAUAUCCAGUUUUCAUUCUAUUUUGCAGUAAAAUUAAUAAGACAUCUCAUCCCAAUCAAUAAAUAGAAUCAACAAAGUUAUGAUGCAACAAUAAAUGGCUUUUUUUUUAUCACACUAAUAGAUUUUUUGUUUGUGCUAUAGGCUUGCAAUUCCAUAGUACUUGUUUGGUGGAUUCAUCGAUUCAAAAUGUGUUUACCUUAUUAAGCAAUUCUAAAUUGAAGAGUUCUAAAGCAGCCCUGCUUCCCUU
rnacentral:lncRNA from 1 species